GAUCUAUUAGUUUAGAGAGAACACCAUAAUUUCAAUAUGGAAGAGGAUAAAUCCAUAGAUAA
rnacentral:tRNA from 1 species